GCGGGCUUGGCCGAAUGGCUAGGCUGCGGCCUUCCAAGCCGUCCAUGCGAGUUCGAUUCUCGCAGCCCGCUCCA
rnacentral:tRNA from 1 species